AUUGAACGCUGGCGGCAUGCUUUACACAUGCAAGUCGAACGGUAACAGGCCGCAAGGUGCUGACGAGUGGCGAACGGGUGAGUAAUGCAUCGGAACGUGCCCAGUCGUGGGGGAUAACUAUCCGAAAGGAUAGCUAAUACCGCAUACGAUCUGCGGAUGAAAGCGGGGGACCUUCGGGCCUCGCGCGAUUGGAGCGGCCGAUGUCAGAUUAGGUAGUUGGUGGGGUAAAGGCUCACCAAGCCAACGAUCUGUAGCUGGUCUGAGAGGACGACCAGCCACACUGGGACUGAGACACGGCCCAGACUCCUACGGGAGUCAGCAGUGGGGAAUGUUGGACAAUGGGCGCAAGCCUGAUCCAGCAAUGCCGCGUGCAGGAAGAAGGCCUUCGGGUUGUAAACUGCUUUUGUACGGAACGAAACGGCUCUGGUUAAUACCUGGGGCUAAUGACGGUACCGUAAGAAUAAGCACCGGCUAACUACGUGCCAGCAGCCGCGGUAA
rnacentral:rRNA from 1 species